AUUUUAUUGACAUGAUUGGUGACAGGGUGACAAUGGUGACAAACCCCUUAUGCUUGUGCAGACCCAAUGGUGUCCCGAUGAAGGGCCGCAGUGUGUUGUGGGGUCAGAAAAGAGCGGGCUUAGGUGGACGGAUGCCAAGGGCAGUCGCCAGCUCUCCAGGCAGGACCCAGUGAAGGAUGUCCUUCUGCAGCACAAACAGGGUGAAGAAGACAAGCUGCAGCAGGCCCAAGAACAGCAGAAACGCCCUGCGGAACAGAAGAAGGUCCAGUCAGAUUCCGGGGGCACGUUUGUCACAGCACUUUCCAUCCAGCCCCG
rnacentral:lncRNA from 1 species